rnacentral:tRNA from 2 species
GUUGGGGUAGCAAAGUGGCUACUGCUUUAGAUUUAGGAUCUAGUAUCGGGGGUUCGAGUCCCCCCUCUAAUU